AAGUAACACAAUAAUUUCAAGAAAACUAAUUUAGUUUGGCGGCAUUUCAUCUUAUCAGAGGAAUUUGUCUUUUAAUCGAUAAUCCGCGCUAAAUUUCACUUAAUUUCAAAAUUUAUAUACCGCCAUCUUAAGAAUUAAUUCAAAAAUAUUCCUCAAAAUAAAACAUAAUAAGUUAGGUCAAGGUGUAGUUUAUAUUUAAGAAUUAGAUGAAUUACAUUAAAUAAAAUUUAAGGAUUAUAAAUAAAAAUCUAAUAUAAAAAAGAAUUUGAAAGUAAUUUCGAAAUAAUAUUUCAAUAUGAAUUAGAUAAUAAAUGUGC
rnacentral:rRNA from 1 species